AUUGAACGCUGGCGGCAGGCCUAACCCAUGCAAGUCGAGCGGAGCGGCGGACGGGUGAGUAAUGCCUAGGAAUCUGCCUGGUAGUGGGGGAUAACGUCCGGAAACGGGCGCUAAUACCGCAUACUAUCAGAUGAGCCUAGGUCGGAUUAGCUAGUUGGUGGGGUAAAGGCCUCCCAAGGCGACGAACCGUAACUGUUGUGCGAGGAUGAUCAGUCCAACUGGAACUGAGACACGGUCCAGACUCCUACGGGAGGCAGAAGUGGGGAAGAUUGGACAAUGGGCUAAAGCCUGAGCCAGCCAGGCCGCGUGUGUGAAGAAGGUCUUCGGAUUGUAAAGCACUGUAAGUUGGGAGGCGUUACCAACAGAAUAAGCACCGGCUAACUUCGUGCCAGCAGCCUCGGUAAUAC
rnacentral:rRNA from 1 species